rnacentral:rRNA from 1 species
UUGGGCGUAAGGGCUCGCAGGCGGUUUCUUAAGUCCUGAUGUGAAAGCCCCCCGGCUCAACCGGGGAGGGUCAUUGGAAACUGGGGAACUUGAGUGCAGAAGAGGAGAGUGGAAUUCCACGUGUAGCGGUGAAAUGCGUAGAGAUGUGGAGGAACACCAGUGGCGAAGGCGACUCUCUGGUCUGUAACUGACGCUGAGGAGCGAAAGCGUGGGGAGCGAACAGGAUUAGAUACCCUGGUAGUCCACGCCGUAAACGAUGAGUGCUAAGUGUUAGGGGGUUUCCGCCCCUUAGUGCUGCAGCUAACGCAUUAAGCACUCCGCCUGGGGAGUACGGUCGCAAGACUGAAACUCAAAGGAAUUGACGGGGGCCCGCACAAGCGGUGGAGCAUGUGGUUUAAUUCGAAGCAACGCGAAGAACCUUACCAGGUCUUGACAUCCUCUGACAAUCCUAGAGAUAGGACGUCCCCUUCGGGGGCAGAGUGACAGGUGGUGCAUGGUUGUCGUCAGCUCGUGUCGUGAGAUGUUGGGUUAAGUCCCGCAACGAGCGCAACCCUUGAUCUUAGUUGCCAGCAUUCAGUUGGGCACUCUAAGGUGACUGCCGGUGACAAACCGGAGGAAGGUGGGGAUGACGUCAAAUCAUCAUGCCCCUUAUGACCUGGGCUACACACGUGCUACAAUGGACAGAACAAAGGGCAGCGAAACCGCGAGGUUAAGCCAAUCCCACAAAUCUGUUCUCAGUUCGGAUCGCAGUC